UACGUAGGGUGCAAGCGUUAAUCGGAAUUACUGGGCGUAAAGCGUGCGCAGGCGGUUUUGUAAGUCUGUCGUGAAAUCCCCGGGCUCAACCUGGGAAUUGCGAUGGAGACUGCAAGGCUAGAAUCUGGCAGAGGGGGGUAGAAUUCCACGUGUAGCAGUGAAAUGCGUAGAGAUGUGGAGGAACACCGAUGGCGAAGGCAGCCCCCUGGGGUAACACUGACGCUCAUGCACGAAAGCGUGGGGAGCAAACAGG
rnacentral:rRNA from 1 species